AUGAACGCUGGCGGCGUGCCUAAUACAUGCAAGUCGAGCGCACAGACGAGGAGCUUGCUCCUCUGACGUUAGCGGCGGACGGGUGAGUAACACGUGGAUAACCUACCUAUAAGACUGGGAUAACUUCGGGAAACCGGAGCUAAUACCGGAUAAUAUAUUGAACCGCACGGUUCAAUAGUGAAAGACGGUUUUGCUGUCACUUAUAGAUGGAUCCGCGCCGCAUUAGCUAGUUGGUAAGGUAACGGCUUACCAAGGCAACGAUGCGUAGCCGACCUGAGAGGGUGAUCGGCCACACUGGAACUGAGACACGGUCCAGACUCCUACGGGAGGCAGCAGUAGGGAAUCUUCCGCAAUGGGCGAAAGCCUGACGGAGCAACGCCGCGUGAGUGAUGAAGGUCUUCGGAUCGUAAAACUCUGUUAUUAGGGAAGAACAAAUGUGUAAGUAACUAUGCACGUCUUGACGGUACCUAAUCAGAAAGCCACGGCUAACUACGUG
rnacentral:rRNA from 1 species